UGCAAGUAGUCUGUUGAUGUCGUC
rnacentral:siRNA from 1 species